AUUCGCCGCGCUUUCCCAAAGUGCUUCUGGGUGGCGAAGGCGGCGGUGGCGGCGAAGGCGGUGGUGGCGCAGCGGUAGCUGAGAUUGCCUGAGGCCCUGCCCGUGCACAGGGUUUGGAAUGCAUCCCAGGGCCAUUUGCCUGGCAAGAAGGUGGUUGCAACCAAGAUGCCUGUGUUCAUGUCAUUCUGGAUUCUUGCAGCUUUUCGGUCAUUUCUCAAGCAACUUAGUCCCACCAUGGAUCAAGUCAUGAUACGUAAAAUAAUGCUGCAUUUUCAAUCGAUGGUGAUUCAGAGUCAGUGAAAUCCAGUAUUAACAGUAACAACACAACAAUGAUAAUAAUAGCUACCAUUUAUAGCUGCCUCCAAGGAUCCAGGCACUUUGCUGACGUCAUUUCCUUUCAUUAUUAUCCUCACAGCCCUAGAAGGUAAGCAUUUUAUCCUCAUUUUGAAGACAGGAAAUUGAGGCUCAGAGAGGUCAGGCAACUUUCUCAAUUUGGUUUUCUUUUUCCUUUCACAGUAGUGAGGAUGGAACCCAGGGCCUUAUGCGUCUCGUCUCGGGCCAGUGCUCUACCACUGUGCCACACCAUCAGCCCCUGGGGUCGGUUCUGUGCUGGCCCUACCCAGUGCUCACACGUGUUCAAAGUUUGCACAUGGGAGGUCUUUGUGGGGUAAAGCCUGCUGCCAAAGGGGUUCCCCAAACAUGAAUUUCUAGGGUUUUUGUGGACCACUGGGAUGGAGAACAGGUGCUACCUACAGGUCCUUCCUGAACUCAGUGCCUGCUCACCCAGGGAUCUGGUCUCUGUGGAGAGUGGAGUGGGGAUAAAUAAUUAUGAAAAUUCAGGGAAAGCACAGACUCCUUCCCUCUCUAGCUCUGGGAGAAUUCUCUCUUCUUCUGGGAACCCCUGAGGAGCAACACCAGCUUCCAACCCUUACACCUCCUCCUUAACUACACCCUACAUCUGCUUGCUUUCCUCCCUACCCCCCAACACUCCACCCCACCCAGUUUGAUGGUUCAAAGAGUCUUCCACUGAUCUUGCAGCCCAUUCUAGAUUCCCCUCACAGACUUGGGGUAAAAAUAGCCUGUGAGGGCUGAGGGUAUACCUCAGUGGUAGAGCCCUUGGUCAGCAUGCAGAAGACUCCAGGUUCCAUUCCCAGCAGUGCAAAAAACAGGACUGAGCAAGUUGUCUGACUGCGCUCUCUGGCCUCUAUUUUUUUUUCUUCAGGACUGGUGGCAUUCUCUACCUUUCUUUGUUUUGUUUUUUUGUUUUUGAGACAGGGUCUCACUAUGUAGCUCAGGAUGGUCUUGAACUCACUAUGUAGCCCAGACUGGCCCCAAACUCUCAGGCAUGGAAUGUUCUAUCUCUGAGCCACAUUUUAAAACAGGAUCUUGUUAAAUUGCCUGGGCUGGUCUCAAACUUUCAAUCUUCCUGCCUCGGCUUGAGUAGCUGGGAUUACAGGCUGGUGAGACCACACCCAGCCUGAUACCUGAGGUCUUGAAUCCACAAGACUUCAGAAAUGGGAAGGGUAGAGACCUCAAUCCUAGGCUUUGGUAAACAAGAGUUUCUAAUUACUCCCUUGGAAAAAGCUUUAAAUACUAGAAACGGUUUUGAGUUACUUUUUUUUUUUUGGUACCGGGGAUCAAACUUGGGACCUUGUGCUUUCAAGGCAGGCAGCAGCACCACUGAGCUAAAUCCCUGGCCCUUUGAGUUACUCUUUUUCUGGAAAAAAGUCCUGGAGGAGGAAGAGGGAUGACCUAGUGGGAUCCCAUUUGGAAAUCCAUUACAUAUUGUUAUUCCCACUACACAGAUGAGGAAACUGAGGCUGAAGUAUCUUACUUGAGUUCUAGAGCAGUUCUGUUUUGUUAUGAAGUCUUUUUUUUAAACAAGGUCCGACUAUGCACUUCAGGCUGGCCUCGAACUUGCAGCAACCCUCCUGUCUCAGCCCCUUGAGUGCAGGGAUUACAGAUGUGCACCAUCACACCCAGCUCACUAUCUGAUUUCUUGUUCUGUUUGUAUCCUCCUGUAGAAUGCCCAUUUCACCCUAGCCCCUAAAAUAGUGCCUGGUAGUAAAUGUUUGUGGAGAUGCUUGAGCCUGGGAAUUCAAGGCCAGCUUAGACAACAUGCCACAACCAUUUCUGAGAGAGAGAGAGAGAACAAAAUAAAGAAAGAGGCUAUAGGGCUGGGGAUUUAGCUCAGUGGCGCUACACCUGCCUCAAAAGUGCAAGGUCCUAAGUUCUAUCCCGGGUACCGGAGAAAAGCAAAACAAAACAAAACCAGGCUAAAUGACUUAGAGCAUAAAGGAAUGAAUGAAUGAACAAAC